CUGCAACUGAGCUACUAUAUGAAUCUUGGAUGAAGCUGUGUUCACCACUCUUUCAUUUAGUUGACAAACGUAAAGCAGCGACACUGACCGUUUAGGAGAAGACUGCAACAAGUCCAGCGCACCUCAAGGGUGGCUCUGGCUUUGUGUUGACAUCACAGCUGGCGUGCUCCAUGGCCAGUGUGUCGAGCAUAACCGCACUGUUAGGGGAAGACAUAUGUUUGAGAAACACAAGAACCAAGCCUGUGGUGUCUGAGCCCUGUGCCAACCGUGUUUGAUAGCAGACCACUAGAUCUGUACACUGCUACUCAUUGUGUCCAUGUUUUCAACUACCGUGAUAUGUUCUUUGAAAGAGAACAUUGUAGCAAGAUGGUGGGGAACAUUUAUGUCUCUUUUGUGAAAAAAAAA